GUGAAUCAUCAAAUUUUUGAACGCAAAUUGCACUCUCCUCUGUGAGUAUGCCUGUUUGAGGGUCAGCCUAUAAAAAAUCGACAUCGUUGCUGUUUCCUGCUUGCGUUCGUCGGGAAUUGGGUCAUCUUAAAUCUUUUUUUUUUAAGCGACUUAAAAUUUUCUUUUUUUGUUCUAUGAACGUUUCUAAGAUUUAUUUCUUUACACGUUUAAGGUAUCGCUUGCUAUUAGACGUGACCAUCAUAUCGGCUCGCGCUCAUAAUCU
rnacentral:misc_RNA from 1 species